rnacentral:rRNA from 1 species
GUCUCAAAGAUUAAGCCAUGCAUGUCUAAGUAUAAGCAAUCUAUACGGUGAAACUGCGAAUGGCUCAUUAAAUCAGUUAUCGUUUAUUUGAUAGUACCUUACUACUUGGAUACCGUGGUAAUUCUAGAGCUAAUACAUGCUAAAAACCCCGACUUCGAAAGGGGUGUAUUUAUUAGAUAAAAAACCAAUGC